rnacentral:lncRNA from 1 species
GAGGGUCAGUACAGAUAUCCUCACCGUAAGCAGGGGGAGCAUGGUGGAGCUCUUCGAUCCAUCGGUUCAUCUCUUGGAACCUUUGAUCCAGGAGUUUCUCUCGAUCGCGAAUCUUGAGGGUCUUCUGGCAGAACGGAGGUAGGGACCCUCCGGGGGUGGAAUCGUGAUCAGAUAGAGGGCUCUUCGCCUUCUGCUUCCCCUUUUCGGGGGAUACAGGGUGACUGGCCCAAGUGGGCCAC